CUCUUGAUCAUCCUAAUUCACUUGCAUGAUUGAACAGCAUGAUUUCGUGGCCUAGAAUAUACUUACAAAUGAAAUAGGGACUCUUUCUUGCAAUCCAAGAGUCUCCUAAGUUUAGAGGUGGUAGAGGGAGAUGGAUGGUAGGCAAUCAAAUGGAUCAAUGAUCUCUCUCCUUUUUGAUCUCCUUGUUUUAUUAUAGGGGUGAUUGAAGGAGUUAUUAGUAAUGAUAACUGCACAAGAUAGUUAGCACCAAGUGGUACAUCCUCCCACUUGAACCAAGCAUAGGCAUACCCACAUGGUGCUCAACCAGGACUAAUAUCUUCCACUCACAAAUGAUGGGCAUGACCAUGCCUUUGAUAUGUCAAAUGUGUCGGGUUCCGGGUCACGCAAUGAAAGACUGAAUUUCAAAAUUUUAUGAAAUCCAAUAAACUUGAAAACCAAAAGCUUAGGAUCUCCCCUGGUGUAUUCAAUAAAACAUAUAUGCCUAUAAGUGAGGUCUAGAUAUGAAACCUUAGGUCGGUGAAGAAUAGAAGAAGCCGGUAUCCUUUCUUUUCCAUGAAAUACCUAAACAUUUGCCUUCCAAUAGGUGAGCCACAUGAAAUCAGGAUCAAGAAAAUGCUCUGACAGAACCUUGCCUUAUCAAAUUCUGCUCCCGAGAGCUAUCUUGCCUUGCUAGGA
rnacentral:lncRNA from 1 species